UUAGUGCAUAUUUUCACAAUUAACUAAUGUAAAGAUAUUUUCAUAGUUGAUUUUCAUCUUACGUGCGCGAACCAAACGUAAAAGACUUUCCUCCAAAUUCACACUCUCGGGGCCAAAUUACAUAUAAAAAGACUUGGACCUCCUCCAAUCUCCGCAGUUCUUCACAAUCUAACACAACACAGUCCUCAGAUUCUUAACACAGGAUACAAUGGCUUCAGUUUUCCAUGCGUUGCACCAUUUUUUCUCUACUCCUCCACCAGAACAGGUAUUGACAAAAUUCACUCUCGUUCUCUCUCUCUCUCUCUCUCUCUCUCUCU
rnacentral:lncRNA from 1 species